GACGAACGCUGGCGGCGUGCCUAACACAUGCAAGUCGAGCGGGGACGGGUUCAACACUGGGUAUUUAGUCAUAAGCGUUAGUUGAGCCGGCGUUUAUGCAGAAACAACCUUAGUAUACGCUAAUGUUUUAGUUAAAGAAGUUUCUGCAUCACGCUAAAUUAAGUGACUAACACUACGACUGAGUACUGAGUGUUGAGCCCGUCCUAGCGGCGGACGGGUGAGUAACGCGUGGGUAACCUGCCUUAUACAGGGGGAUAACACUGGGAAACUAGUGCUAAUACCGCAUAAUAUCAUGAAGGGGCAUCCCUUUAUGAUCAAAGGAGCAAUCCGGUAUAAGAUGGGCCCGCGUCCGAUUAGCUAGUUGGUGGGGUAAAAGCCUACCAAGGCGACGAUCGGUAGCCGAACUGAGAGGUUGGUCGGCCACAUUGGGACUGAGACACGGCCCAGACUCCUACGGGAGGCAGCAGUGGGGAAUAGUUGCGCAAUGGGGGAAACCCUGGACGCAGCGACGCCCGCGUA
rnacentral:rRNA from 1 species